ACUAACAAGGAUUCCGCUAGUUACUGCGAGUGAAGCGGGAAAAGCUCAAAUUUAAAAUCUGAGGGUCUUUAUGGCCUUCCGAGUUGUAAUCUAGAGAAGUGCUAUCCGCGCUGGACCGUGUACAAGUCUCCUGGAACGGAGCGUCAUAGAGGGUGAGAAUCCCGUCUUUGACACGGACUACCAGGGCUUAUGUGAUGCGCUCUCAAAGAGUCGAGUUGUUUGGGAAUGCAGCUCUAAAUGGGUGGUAAAUUCCAUCUAAAGCUAAAUAUUGGCGAGAGACCGAUAGCGAACAAGUACCGUGAGGGAAAGAUGAAAAGAACUUUGGAAAGAGAGUUAAACAGUACGUGAAAUUGUUGAAAGGGAAACGCUUGAAGUCAGUCGCAUUGGCCAGGGAUCAACCUUGCUUUUGCUUGGUGUAUUUUCUGGUUAAUGGGUCAGCAUCAAUUUUGAUCGGUGGAAAAAGAUCAAGGGAAUGUGGCAUCUUCGGAUGUGUUAUAGCCUUUGGUUGUAUACAUCGGUUGGGAUUGAGGAACUCAGCACGCCGCAAGGCCGGGUUUUUAACCACGUACGUGCUUAGGAUGCUGGCAUAAUGGCUUUAAUCGACCCGUCUUGAAACACGGACCAAGGAGUCUAACAUGCACGCGAGUGUUUGGGUGGAAAACCCGAGCGCGUAAUGAAAGUGAAAAUUGAGAUCCCUGUCGUGGGGAGCAUCGAUGCCCGGACCAGACCUUUUGUGACGGUUCCGCGGUUGAGCGUGUAUGCUGGGACCCGAAAGAUGGUGAACUAUGCCUGAAUAGGGUGAAGCCAGAGGAAACUCUGGUGGAGGCUCGUAGCGAUUCUGACGUGCAAUCGAUCGUCAAAUUUGGGUAUAGGG
rnacentral:rRNA from 1 species